UACGUAGGGUCCAAGCGUUAUCCGGAAUCACUGGGCGUAAAGCGUGCGUAGGCGGUCUGUUAAGUGAGAUGUGAAAUCGUGUGGCUCAACCAUAUCGUUGUGUCUCAUACUGGCAGACUAGAGGAUAGCAGAGGCAAGUGGAAUUACGAGUGUAGCAGUGAAAUGCGUAGAGAUUCGUAGGAACACCAAUGGCGAAGGCAGCUUGCUGGGCUAUAUCUGACGCUCAGGCACGAAAGCGUGGGGAGCGAACAGG
rnacentral:rRNA from 1 species